rnacentral:rRNA from 1 species
AGCUCCAAUAGCGUAUAUUAAAGUUGCUGCAGUUAAAAAGCUCGUAGUUGCAUUUCCGAGGCAAGGGAUUAGUCCGACCUUUGGUGGGUAUUUAAUCCUCUUGCCUCGUCCUUGAGUGGUGCUUCUUGGUAUUAAGUUAUCGAGGAGAUAGCCGCUCAUCGUUUACUGUGAGAAAAUUAGAGUGUUCAAAGCAGGCUUAUGCCGUUGAAUAUAUUAGCAUGGAAUAAUAAGAUAGGACCUCGGUACUAUUUUGUGGGUUUGAGAACCAAGGUAAUGAUGAAUAGGGACAGUUGGGGGUAUUCGUAUUCAGUUGUCAGAGGUGAAAGUCUUAGAUUUACGGAAGACGAACUACUGCGAAAGCAUUUACCAAGGAUGUUUUCA